UUUAAGUACAGCCAUGAGUUUCCAUGCGCAACUUUGAUUGCCCGUCUUAUUUGAUUUUUUUUUUACAAUUAGUAUUUUUAUUGUUAUGAGAUGAUAAAACAUUAAUAGUACUUUAUGCAUGACUUAUGUUUUUAGUUUUUUUUUCAAAAAUUUUUCAAAUUAGACGGACGAUCAAAGUUGGACACUGAAAAUUAUGGUUGCACUUAGA
rfam:Oryza glumipatula chromosome 8, whole genome shotgun sequence.